rnacentral:lncRNA from 1 species
AAAACUGCAUUUCUACCAGUGCACGGGGAAUUUCUGCUAUUUGACACCAACGUCAGCAGACCCAGCGUAAAGAUGAGAAAUUGGUCUCCGAAUAUUUGGCUGCCAAAGAUCUGUGCUGAGGCAGUUGUGAAGGGUUUUUGUCCUCCUCUGUAUCAGCAGCUCCUGGGGUACUAGUGCAAACUUCACCUAAUGAAAUGCAAAUCCCAUACAAGAGAAUUCAUACAACUUGGUGAUUCAGAUCUCAAGUCUGCACUGCCAGUGGUAGCCAUAGAAACCUUGAAGCAGGUGUCACUGAAGCUUGUCCUUGGUCCACUGGGAUGGCUGUUGUGCAAGACGGAUUAGGCACUGGAUCCAGUGAACAGCAAGUGUCCCCUGAUGCUGCCUGUGGAACAAUGAGCCCUGUGCACUGCCCUUUGGAAGAGGAAAUAGCACCUACAGACUUUAAACAAGAAGAAUGAGGGGCAAAAUCUCAGCAGUGGCUUCAUGCAUCCUCAGAACUGCAUCUUGCCUUCCACCCCUGUCUCACUCAGCCCCACAACUCCAAUGCUAGGAUAUGCAAUCAUCACCUGUGUUCAUCUCACACAGAAUCACAGGAUCACAGGGGUUGGAAGGACCUCAAGAGAUGAUCAAGUUCAACCCCCUGCUAAAGCAGGCUCCCUUCAAUUGGCUGCACAGGUAGGCAUCCAGAUGGAUCUUGAAUAUCCUCAGAGAAGAAGACUCCACGGCUUCUCUGGGUCACCUGUUCCAGAGCUCCAUCACCCUUACCAUAAAGCAGUUUUUCCUCAUGUUUGUAUGGAACUUCCUACAUUCAAGUUUUAGGCCAUUCUGUACCACUUUUCAGAGGCUUCCCAGCACAAUGAUAUAAACCCUACCUUUUAACCCUUCAAAUGUUUUCCCAGAUGAAAAAGGAGCAAGCUGAGUUUGGUGGGAUUACUUCAGGCUGGAGGCAGGAGCUUUUGGCUGAUGUCUCUGAUGAUGGCAACUGGCGACCCAGCAGUGCCAUCCCAUGUAUGCUGCAGCAUGGACUGAUCCUCUUCAUGCUGCAACUCACUCAGUUAUUAUGCCUGAGCUUCCCUUUGACAAAAAAUAAAAGGCCAUAUUUCCCAGGAUAAUUGCA